AUACAUACACACACACAUACGCACACUCAGAUGAAUGUAUUUCUUGGAGAAGGCACAAUAGAAAAGCUGUAUCUUAGAGGUAGAGGACAUAAACAUGGAGCAGGGAUGCAGCAUUGGUAAUGUGAGAACCACAAGAGGGUGGGAGUCCACACUGAGAAUCAAUGGAACAGCAUGCAAUUGUACUGUUGGACCCAGCACUGCAAUGGCACUGUGGAGACCUGAAUUCAAAUCCCCAUUCAGCCAUGAAACUCACUGGAUGACAAUGGGAGCCCUGGAACUGCCUGUACAGGUCACCAAAAGAUUGCAAGAAGGAAGAAGGAAGUGAGCAGUGAAUCUGACAAAUUGUGAAGAUGCCAAAUUAUAGCAAAAAAUCAUCAUCAUCAUCAUAAUUGCUAGCUUGCCUAGAAAGCAUUCAACAAGCCAGUAGAUCUUCUUUCCACUACCAAGAACCAAUCAUUGUGGAUAAGGAGAGGCUUGUAAAAGCACAAGUAAAGACAAGAAAACAUUUGGUUCUUGUCUUUGAUAGAGUUUGUAGGUUUUUUUCUUGUUGAGCCAGAGUGUUAAGGUUGUAUUUAGACUUCUGUGUUUAAAAGCAGAUCUCAUUCCACAACUCCUUUCACACCUAUACAGUUUCUGAGCAUUUAUUAUAUCAAUUCCAUAUUGUAUCUUUCCCUUUCCCCUAUUUGUAGUUAUUUAAAUGCUGCUGCUUGUGACUAACCAGCACCCAACUCAAGUCUGCCAGAGAGGAAUGUAGGUACCAUGGCAAAAUUAAAUUUCCCAAGAGUCCCUGAUGCUUGAAGAACCAUACAUGGUAUUGGAGGUGAGUUUGGAGUGAGUCAUUCACAUAACCUCUAGAUACUGUUGCCAGGAGCAAAAUUUGGAAUUUGGUUUUUCAAAAAGCUAACUUUGGGGGGGAGGGUGCAUGAAAUAGUUUGGUUUUCUGGCCCUAAUUCCAAAUCUAUCUGGAGGGAAAUUAACCAUCACUAGCAAACAAUGAAACCCAGGUAGGCAUCCAUUCAAAAACCUCCCUGGUUUCAGUAUAUUCAAAUGCGUUCAAUUGAUCAACAUAAAUUACAUCGACAAGGAGGGAAACUUAAGGAUCUCACUGAUUCUGAAAAAUUAAUUUAAAAAAAAAAUCCUGAUCAUUUGCUUGGUAUGGUCUAUAAGUUGUUAUUGAAAUGUGAUACUGAAACAGAAAAAGUAAAGGUAUGCAUGAUUAGAUGGAUGCAGAAUAUAAAUAAAACAAUUGAUUUUAGUGAUUGGGAAUAUCAAUGGAAGAAAGGAAUUAAAUUUACCCUCAGCAAUAAUUUGCAGAAGAAUUGGUAUUAAAAAAAAUUUUGGUAGUAUGUGACUCCUAUGACUAUUCAUAAAAUUGAAAGCAGUUUCCCAAAAGAAUACUGGAAAUGUAACCAUCACAUAGGGACGUUUUAUCAUAUGUGGUGGACAUGCGAUGCUGCCCAAUCAUUUUGGAAACAAAUACAUUGUAAAAUGGAGCACAUUUUAUGUAUCAAAUGUCCUUUUUAAACCAGAAAUCUUUCUUUUAAGUUAUACUGAAAUGUCUCUAUAUAGUUUCCUAUGUUCCUAUGAUCAUGGCAGCUAGGAUUCUUUAUGCUGCCAAUUGGUGUUCCUCUAUAAUCCCCUCUUUAGCUGAUUGUUUUAUUAAAUUAUGGGACUAUGCAUCUCUUUCUAAAGUUUCAGCUUAUGUGAAUAACUCUCCAUCAGAAUCCUUUUUAUUAACUUGGGAACUUUUUAUAAAAUAUAAUGUUCAACAAGGUCAUUGUUUGUUUCCGAGAUGUGGUUUUGAUCUGUGAUCUAUGAUUUCAUGAUUGAAAUCGAGUUAGUGGAAGUUGUCUUUCUUAUUAUUCUUUUCUUUCUCUUUUUAUUUUAUUCUGAUAAUUGAUUCUUGGCGUAAAACUUUGUAUGCUUUGAUUUCAAAAGAUGGGAUUUCUUUCUUCUUUGUAAUAAAAUAAACAAAUUUAAAAAGAAAAAAGAGAAAGAAAGAAAGAAACCCAGGUAGGCAAUUAUCCCAGUAUUAAUGUAUACACAAGGCAAAAAUUUUUUAAUUAUUAUUAUUAAGAAAGUGUUUCCUGUCUGUAUACAAAUUUAUAGAAUCUGACUCUCAUUCACACAGAAGACUUGCCAUUCGCAGUACUAAAUCUAAAGUUCUGACUGAACAAGCUCAGAUGAGUCAGAUGAAGUCCUGGAAAUGUCAUCCAGAAAGAGUUGGAAAUAGCCUUAAUAAUAAAGUGCAUCGAGGAAAAAUAAAAGUUUAAAUUGACCCCCAAAAUCCCCCUAUAGGAUAAAAAGGAAAAUGGGAUAGGGAUGGGAAUUCAAUUGCCAUAAUAAAGAGACAGAAAUGAAAAAGCACAGCUUCCAUGCAGGGACAGCAAUUGCCUUUGCAUCCAGUGUCUAAUGUCUGAUAUUUUUAAAAAAGCUAUAAAAGCAGAAAACAGGAAUAAUAAUAAUCAUCAUAAACAGUUAGGUCCCAUUGUGAUUGAUGGUCCUCCUGUGUCCAGUUCGCUUCUGCAAAUUCAAUUUGUAUCCAAAUAAAUAUUUGGCAUUGGUGGUUCCAGUUUCUACAACGAGCGGCAAGAAAUCAUUUGCACAUAAAUAGAUUUGUCCUCAAAAAUGCAAAGUGUUCCAUCAUACCAGAGGCAAGAUAAUUCUUUAAAGCUGAGGCGUACGCUUUUAUAAUGCCCAGUGUCAGGUACGGGUACUGCCUUUCCUCUUGCAGAACCUCUGUGUCUUUAAUAGGGUUGCCACUCUCCUUUUUUUACUUGAAUAGUACAAAGAUCUAUAUCCAGUAUCCAGGUCAGAUGCUCACAAUCUGCAAACAACUGUGGAAGGGAGUGGAUCUCUUAAAGCAUUAUUUCCCCAGCUCUACAACUACUACUGCCACAAUUAACCCCCUUCCAACAGGACUUGUGGUCAUGCUACACACCUUCAUUUGGGAGGCUGUGACAGGAGAGACAGAUGAGAGGAGAAAAGGGAGUAGAUUUAUUAGGCCAACAGUUUACCUUCUGUGUCCUGCAUUCUGAUGUCACUUAGCUCAUGCAGAACUCAUGCUCUUGCUGCUCCACUUGGAAUAUGUUUGUGGGUAGAGGUAGAAAUUAAUCCUAGGAGCAGGAGCCCAGGAUUAAUAAAGGAAAGCAGAUGAGAGCAGACUGGAGGGGGAAAUACUAGCUAAACUUAUCUGCUCUCUUUCCUCCAAUGAUGGCGUCAGUGGAGUUACAACUGUGGCCUGGUUCACACAAUUAUUUGAAUCUGGGUUUAAUGUGAGUUACCAACAUUCGCAUAAUUGUGCGAACCUAUGCCAAGUUGAAUCUAGGACCUUUUGCAUGCAAAGCAUGUGCUCUGCACUUGAGCUCUUGGGCUCUCCCUCUAGAAACCCUCUAGAGGCUCUGAGGAGCUUUUGAAAGCUUACAGGCAGGACAAGAAAGCAAUAGUUCUCAACCUGAUGUUUGUUUCCAGUAUCUUCGGGGCUUGAAGUUUCCAUGUAACUACCAUGGCUAAUGGUCAAUGAUAGAAUGGCGGGUUCAAAAAUCUACGGAAGGCAAGUAGGAGGAAAUCAGAGGUUCUGGGGAGCACCUUGGCGCAAGUCAGUUCUUCGGGCCAUUUCCAUGUUGUCUGAAUCUAGAAAUGUCAGAUUGACCAUGUGGGGUUCCAUCUACCACCCACACUCUCUGCCUAACUUCAAGUGUUGGCAUGCUCCCUGGGAAUAGGCAGUUCCCUCCUACUUAUUUUCUGCAGGUUGUAUAAUCAUUGGAUUUGUGUAAUCUUUUUUUAAAGCCAUAUACUCUAGGUUCGAGUAUUACAAACUGUAGCUUGUACUGCUGCUUCUGAAUAUGUGAAAGAAAACAUAUACUCCAAAAAGUAUUUGUAAUUGUUACAGAAAAUGUAAACUAGAGGGGUAAAAUAAAUUUGCAUAUGGAUCACCUGUAAA